rnacentral:lncRNA from 1 species
UGCUCGGAUCGAUGGUGACUCCCUACAAAUGCAUUCCUUGGAAAUCUGAACAAAAUGAGUGACAGUCCCUACCGUCGUCCUCAUCGGAACUGAGGUCCAGCACGUGGCUCCACCCAGGAACUCAGAGUGAGGGACACACGCGGUGCCAUAGCUUUGCUGGUAGCUGCGAGUGUGCACCAGGAUUGGGCCGUGACGCAGACCUCCGUGGGUGACACUGGAACACAGGCUGACAGGCCAGCGGCCUGAGAGAAUGAGGUGGAGCGGCAUGAUGCCAGUGUCCGUGAACAUCUGCAAGCCCCAUUCUG